rnacentral:tRNA from 1 species
ACCUUGUUAGUAUUCAAAGUACUUUUGACUUCCAAUCAAAAAGUCUUAGUUAAAACCUAAGACAAGGUA